rnacentral:lncRNA from 1 species
UUGGUCAGGACAAUUGUGUAACUGUCUGAAGAACCAUCUGGGGCUCCUUCAACAACUCAACAAGAGCUGGGUUCCUAUGAGGUCAUGGAGACCAGGAGAGCAUACAGUUUGUAUCUGCCAUUGAGGAGCCACUAUUCUUGGGCAGACUCCUUCGUGAAGAGCAGGUGGGGCCAGAAUUGAAUGCUUUCUUAGGACAUUUCACCACUGCUAUCCAUCCAUGCAAAUGUGGUUAUAUGGAAGUUAUUUUGUGUUAAAGAGAAGAUUGGGAGCAUUGGAAAAG